AUAAAACAAGUUCAAGAAUUAAUUUAUCCAGGAACUAAUAACGUCCAAAUUGUCAACAUGAUACUUCUUUGUAGAGUAAAAUUCAAGAAUGCUCAGAAGAAUAUUUUCAUAAAAAGAUACUGGAUGAAGCGCAAAUAUCAAGGAUAUUCCACUAAUUUCAUGGAGUAUAGAAGUCAAAACUUUAACCAACUGAGUAUAAUAAAGAAUGGAAUAACAAAAGAAAUCACCAGGCAUGCNNN
rnacentral:lncRNA from 1 species